rnacentral:rRNA from 1 species
UCGUGGUACGAGCUGUCUGGUUAAUUCCGAUAACGAACGAGACUCUAACCUGCUAAAUAGUACAGUCGCAAUUAUUAUGCGGAUCGUUGUAUUGGUGCUCAUGUGCCGAUAUAGCCCCGUAUAAGCAGGUGAAACUUCUUAGAGGGACUGGCGGUCAAAAAACCGCACGAGAAAGAGCAAUAACA